rnacentral:rRNA from 1 species
UAGUGGCGCACGGGUGCGUAACACGUAACUAACCUACCCAGCACUGGGGGAUAGCCCGCCGAAAGGCGGAUUAAUACCGCAUAAGACUAUAGAGCGGCAUCGCUUCGUAGUUAAAGAUUUAUUGGUGUUGGAUGGGGUUGCGGGUCAUUAGCUAGUUGGUUGGGUAACGGCUGACCAAGGCGACGAUGACUAGGGGAGCUGAGAGGCUGGUCCCCCACACGGGCACUGAGAUACGGGCCCG